GGGCAGCGGCGGAGGAGGAGGGGAAGCCGCCGAGGAGGAGCCGCCCCCGCUCUGGUGAUGGGGGCUGGGGAUCUCCGGGCUCUGCAGGCUGCUGAAGCCAGAGCCGAGCCCGCCGGGCAGAAGGUUCCCGGGGCUGCCCAGAGGCGGCGGCCACCCCCACAUUGGGGUCCGCGGACACUGAUCCCCCCGGGCAGGAAGGGGAGAGCCGCUCCGAAUCCCCCCUGUCCGCGCCGCCCUGGUGCUCGGCGGGGCCGACCGGCCGGUGUUGCGAGUGAUCCCCCGUCCGCGGCGGCUCCGGGGGCUGAGCGCUGAGGAGCCGGAGCUGCUGCUGUUGCCUGUGCUCCUGCUGCUGGAGCAGCUCAUCCUGCAUGUUUUGAUGAUGCGCAGCAGCGAUCGCUGAGGGCAAACAGGGAGGGCAGCGGCGACCCGGCGACCGGACGAACCGGCUACAGCGGGCGGCAAGGGGCAGGAGGAAUGAGGCGAGGCGGC